GACGAACCGAGCGAACGUUGUUCGGAAUCACUGGGCUUAAAGGGCGCGUAGGCGGGCCGCCAGGUCAGGGGUGAAAGCCUCCAGCUCAACUGGAGAAGUGCCUCUGAUACUGGCGGCCUCGAGGGAGAUAGGGGCGUGCGGAACUUCCGGUGGAGCGGUGAAAUGCGUAGAUAUCGGAAGGAACACCAGUGGCGAAGGCGGCUCACUGGCCCGAUACUGACGCUGAGGCACGAAAGCGUGGGGAGCAAACAGG
rnacentral:rRNA from 1 species